CCUACGGGGGGCAGCAGUGGGGAAUAUUGCACAAUGGGGGAAACCCUGAUGCAGCAACGCCGCGUGAAGGAAGACGGUUUUCGGAUUGUAAACUUCUGUUCUUAGUGAAGAAUAAUGACGGUAGCUAAGGAGCAAGCCACGGCUAACUACGUGCCAGCAGCCGCGGUAAUACGUAGGUGGCAAGCGUUGUCCGGAAUUACUGGGUGUAAAGGGAGCGCAGGCGGGAAGCCAAGUCAGCUGUGAAAACUACGGGCGUAACUUGUAGACUGCAGUUGAAACUGGUUUUCUUGAGUGAAGUAGAGGUAGGCGGAAGGCAGAGUGGAGCGGUGAAAUGCGUAGAUAUUGAGAAGAACAACGGUGGAGAAGGCGGCCAACAGGGGGUGAACUGACGCUGAGGCACGAAAGUGUGGGGAGCAAACAGGAUUAGAUACCCCAGUAGUC
rnacentral:rRNA from 1 species